CCUACGGGUGGCAGCAGUGGGGAAUAUUGGACAAUGGGGGCAACCCUGAUCCAGCCAUGCCGCGUGUGUGAAGAAGGCCCUCGGGUUGUAAAGCACUUUCAGUGAGGAAGAACGCCUGGUGGUUAAUACCCAUCAGGAAAGACAUCACUCACAGAAGAAGCACCGGCUAACUCCGUGCCAGCAGCCGCGGUAAUACGGAGGGUGCGAGCGUUAAUCGGAAUUACUGGGCGUAAAGCGCGCGUAGGUGGCUUGAUAAGCCGGUUGCGAAAGCCCCGGGCUCAACCUGGGAACGGCAUCCGGAACUGUCAAGCUAGAGUGCAGGAGAGGAAGGUAGAAUUCCCGGUGUAGCGGUGAAAUGCGUAGAGAUCGGGAGGAAUACCAGUGGCGAAGGCGGCCUUCUGGACUGACACUGACACUGAGGUGCGAAAGCGUGGGUAGCAAACAGGAUUAGAUACCCCGGUAGUC
rnacentral:rRNA from 1 species